CCAUUGCAGCAGCCUAUUCUUGGUAGGAAGUAUAUCUUGCAGUAACAGCCACAAACUGAAGAUAGCUUUAGGUCUGGCAGCAUUCUGUACUACCAAAUUCUUCCAAGGGACUCUAGUUGAUUCUCCAAGCAGUUGCAAAUAUAAUUUCCUUAUGGUACAGUCAGCUUUAUAUAGUAGUUGAUGUUGUUGUAGCAGCUUGAUACCCUCCACAAUCUUCCUUACAUCCAGCUAGCAUGUGUUGGGACAGAUAAGUUCUCCAACUGUUGUUGUUUGAUAUAGACAGU
rnacentral:lncRNA from 1 species